AUUGAACGCUGGCGGCAUGCUUUACACAUGCAAGCCGAACGGCAGCGCGGGCUUCGGCCUGGCGGCGAGUGGCGAACGGGUGAGUAAUGCAUCGGAACGUGCCCAGUAGUGGGGGAUAGCCCGGCGAAAGCCGGAUUAAUACCGCAUACGACCUGAGGGUGAAAGCGGGGGACCGAAAGGCCUCGCGCUAUUGGAGCGGCCGAUGUCGGAUUAGCUAGUUGGUGGGGUAAAGGCUUACCAAGGCGACGAUCCGUAGCUGGUCUGAGAGGACGACCAGCCACACUGGGACUGAGACACGGCCCAGACUACUACGGGAGGCAGCAGUGGGGAAUUUUGGACAAUGGGGGCAACCCUGAUCCAGCCAUGCCGCGUGCGAGAAGAAGGCCUUCGGGUUGUAAACCGCUUUUGUUCGGGAAGAAAUCCUCUGGGCUAAUACCCCGGGGGGAUGACGGUACCGGAAGAAUAAGCACCGGCUAACUACGUG
rnacentral:rRNA from 1 species